rnacentral:rRNA from 1 species
GAUGAACGCUGGCGGCGUGCUUAACACAUGCAAGUCGAACGAAGAGGCCCAAGCUUGCUUGGUUACUCUAGUGGCGAACGGGUGAGUAACACGUGGGUAAUCUGCCCUUCACUUCGGGAUAAGCCUGGGAAACUGGGGCUAAUACCGGAUAUGACGAUGUGUUGGAUGGCGGUGUGUAAAGUUUUUUCGGUGUGAGGUGGGCUCGGGGCCUAUCAGUUUGUUUGGGGGGUAAUUGCCUAACAAGGCGUCGGCGGGUAGCCGGCCAGAGAGGGGGAACGGCCACUCGGGGUGUGAGACGGGCCCGAGACUUCUGCGGGGGAGAACAGGGGGAAAUUGUACAAAAGGGGCGAGACCCAUGCAGAGCGACGGCGCGGGGGAGGAGGGCGUUUGCGUUGUAAAAACCUCUUGCUGCGGAGGAGGAGCUAUUGUGACGGUACCUGCAGAAGAAGCACCGGCUAACUACGUG